UACGAAGGGGGCUAGCGUUGUUCGGAAUUACUGGGCGUCAAGCGCACGUAGGCGGACAUUUAAGUCAGGGGUGAAAUCCCGGAGCUCAACUCCGGAACUGCCUUUGAUACUGGGUGUCUUGAGUGUGGAAGAGGUGAGUGGAAUUCCGAGUGUAGAGGUGAAAUUCGUAGAUAUUCGGAGGAACACCAGUGGCGAAGGCGGCUCACUGGUCCAUUACUGACGCUGAGGUGCGAAAGCGUGGGGAGCAAACCGG
rnacentral:rRNA from 1 species